rnacentral:lncRNA from 1 species
GAAAAUUGUGCCUGUGGAUACAAGAGCAGUGAGGCAUGCCAUACAUAACACAAAUUUUUAUUUGAAGUCCCGCAAGAGACGAUAUAUUACAAAUACAAGAGCAGUGAGGCAUGCCAUACAUUACACAAUUUUUUAUUUGAAGUCUCGCAAGGGACGAUAUAUUACACAUCUGACAGAUCAAAUUUUUAGUGCAGAUUGAAGUGAUCAGCAAAGAUCAUAUCAGCUAUUGAGCCACAGUUCAAAAAUACCUCUUUUAGAUGUCUCACAGUUCAAAAUACAUUAAUAUCUGCUAGAAACUAUGAGCAAACUAUAGAGCAGUAUUCGAAAAUUUAAUCUAUAUGUCAAAAGAAUG